UUGAUGGAAGUAAAGAGGAUAGCUUAAGAUAUGCUUAUUCAAAAGAAACAGUAGCAAAUCACUGAACUUGAUAGCGGACUAUAAGGAUAUAUUGAGAUUAAUUACCAGGAGGCAAGUGAGCUCAUUAUCUAGUAGUGGUGAGGAGGAGGAGGUGAGGAGUAGAUGUAAGCCGGUGGAGUGUGAACGGGAGGAGUAGGAGGCUUGUAAGGCUUCGUUGGUGGUGGUGGUGGUGGUGGUGGUGACUUGUAGUGGUAUGGAAUGUGGGGUGGAGAGUAGACUGGAGGAGGAGGAGAAGGCGGUGGUGGAGACUUGUAGUGGUAAGGCGGUGACUUGGGAGGGUAGUGGGGGUGCUUAGGUGGUGAGUACACUGGUGGUGUUGGGGAUGGUGGUGGCUUAGGAGGGUAAUGGGGGUGCUUGGGUGGUGAGUACUUGGGUGGUGUUGGAGAGGGUGGUGACUUGGGAGGGUAGUGAGGAUGCUUGGGUGGUGAGUACACUGGUGGUGUUGGUGAGGGUGGUGACUUGGGAGGGUAAUGAGGGUGCUUGGGUGGUGAGUAGACCGGUGUCUUAGGUGGUGACUUGGGGGGGUAGUAGGGGUGGUGAGGUGGUGAGUAGACUGGCGUUGGUGGUGGAGGAGACUUGUAGUGGUAUGGCUUCUUUGGUGGUGGUGGUGAGUGAUGUGGGUGGUAGGGCUUCUUGUGUGGUGGCGGGGGUGGUGGAGACUUGUAGUGGUAAGGCUUCUUCGGUGGUGGUGGAGGUGGUGGAGACUUGUAGUGGUAUGGCUUCUUUGGUGGUGGUGGUGAGUGGUGUGGAUGGUAGGGCUUCUUGUGUGGUGGGGGUGGUGGAGGAGACUUGUAAUGGUAAGGGACCUUCGGUGGUGGCGGUGAUGGAGGAGGAGGAGACUUGUAGUGGUAAGGCACCUUAGGUGGUGGUGGUGAUGGAGGAGGAGGAGACUUGUAGUGGUAUGGCACCUUUGGUGGUGGUGGUGACGGAGGUGGUGGAGAUUUGUAGUGGUAGACAGGUGUCUUUGGUGGCGGGUACACCGGAGGCUUGGGAGGUGACUUGGGAGGGUAAUGUGGGUGCUUAGGAGGAGAGUACACCGGAGGCUUAGGUGGUGACUUUGGUGGGUAAUGGGGAUGCUUAGGCGGCGAGUACACCGGUGGUGUGGGUGAGGGUGGUGACUUUGGUGGGUAAUGAGGAUGCUUUGGUGGAGAGUACACCGGAGGCUUAGGCGGUGACUUGGGAGGAUAGUAAGGAUGAUGGGGUGGUGCGUAGUGCACUGGUGGCGGAGGCGGCGGUGGUGACUUGUAGUGGUAAGGAGGAGAAGCAGGUGGUGGAGGAGAGGAGUAAGGGUAGUUUGCGGAGGUUUGCGAGGCAAAAGCGACUAAUGCCACUAGAAGACUGAAAACUAGAGAGGUCCCCAUUUUCCCCAUCCUUGUGGGUUUAAGAGGAGAUGGAUUUUGGUUUUCUGCUCUAUAUGCGAAGCCUCUACGCCCUUUAUAUAGCUUUGGUGUUUACCCAUCUAAUCAAACUAAGGGUAAAAUAUAGUAAUCAUCAUCAUGUGCCAAAUUUACAUGCCCAAUUAUCAGUCCUCUUUGGUGUAAAACAAGAUUAGCUAGUGUUAAAAAAACACAAAUAGGGGGCCAGCAAGUAUUGACUGGAAAUAUUUUGUUGAUUGAAUUUGAAGAAUAAAACCUAGCUAACCUAUAUAUUAUACAGUGCCAUCUAUCAAAACGAGCAAUUUUUCCAUAGCUUAGUUAAUUAGUUGGUAUAUUUAUUCUCUGGUUUUCAUGAAUGAUUGAGAAAGAGAGAACAAGCUUCGAAAACGUGUGUGGGUUUUGCCCAACUUUUUCUGAUUCUCGCUGUGCCGAGGACCAGGCGGCUUUGCUCUAUCUGGUCUGUCACAGUCACAUUUUGCAUGGCAUUACUCGAAUUUUUUUCUCUGAUUAAUGUUUUGGGGUGGAUUGAAGUGCCUAUUUGCCUUAAUCAAACGUGGUUUAUCACUAAUUAAUCACUUACAAAGACGAAUUAGGUGUCAUAAUUGCAAUGAAUGAUAACUAGAUAUUGUCUCUACUCUUAACUUGUUGUUCCAAACUAGUAGUAUAAACCAAUUAAGUAGAAUUUAUCGUUUAGACCAUUAACAAAGACUAGCUAGCUAUAAGAUCAAAACAAUUCUUUGAAAGGAGAAAAAUGUUAAUUAAACUAGAGUUGA
rnacentral:lncRNA from 1 species